CAAUGUACCUACACUGUCAGUUUUUAGCCAUGGGGCUAAAACGUAAUGCUUAUAUAGUUUCCUCCAGGUAACCCAGACGGUUCUCGAAUUCUCCAGCCCAGGUGCGAAAUUUCCCGCUUGUCAGUGUCAUAUUUGACAGUAAAUGGGGCGCAACUGGGGUCCCCAUUUACUGAAAUACCAUCAAUUUCGAUCCUCCAAUUCCAAAUUUGCUGUAAACAAACUACUAGCUACCAACGUUCAAUAACAUGAAUCAAACAGCUUAAGAAGAAGUAAAAGAAAAUCAUUAAUGAGUGUCAUUAAAUAAUAUUAAACAUUUGCCACGAUAUUCGCGAGUAUUGUGUACUGAUGCACUAUUUCUGGCAAGAAAAUUGAGGAUGUGUCCAAGAUCACUCAAUUGAAUCUUACAACUGAGCCACCUCAAGAAGAACUGAAGAGAGAUUAAUAGCCUACCUUGCAGAAAUGGGCUCAAAAAUUAAACUGUCGAGACGUCAAAAUGCAAGAUACCAGAAGGAAAUAAUUAAAGACCAGCAAUAAGAUAAAGGAAAGUAUUUUACAAAAGCAAAUUUCAUAAGUCUUGUGGAACAUAGAAUAAAGAUCGGUGGCCCAAUUUUGAUUUUGCCGCAACAAGUAUUAAAAGGAUAUUCUUAGUUGGUUAAUAUUUUAAGCAACAAUACAAAUACAACAAAUACGCAUCAGAAUAAAAAAUAAAUGAGUAUUACUGAAA